rnacentral:rRNA from 1 species
AGCAGCCGCGGUAAUUCCAGCUCCAAUAGCGUAUAUUAAAGUUGUUGCAGUUAAAAAGCUCGUAGUUGAAUUUCGAGACCGGCUUACUGGUCGUGCUUUUGUACGUACUGGUAUAAUCGGUUUCUCCUUUCUGACGAACUAUAAUGCCAUUAAUUUGGUGUUAUAGGGAAUCAGGACUAUUACUUUGAAAAAAUUAGAGUGUUUAAAGCAGGCUCACGCUUGAAUACAUUAGCAUGGAAUAACGGAAUAGGACGUUUGAUUCUAUUUUGUUGGUUUCUGAAUCACCGUAAUGAUUAAUAGGGAUAGUUGGGGGCAUUAGUAUUCAAUUGUCAGAGGUGAAAUUCUUGGAUGUAU